rnacentral:rRNA from 1 species
AUUGAACGCUGGCGGCAGGCCUAACACAUGCAAGUCGAACGGUAACAGGAAGCAGCUUGCUGCUUUGCUGACGAGUGGCGGACGGGUGAGUAAUGUCUGGGAAACUGCCCGAUGGAGGGGGAUAACUACUGGAAACGGUAGCUAAUACCGCAUAACGUCGCAAGACCAAAGAGGGGGACCUUAGGGCCUCUUGCCAUCGGAUGUGCCCAGAUGGGAUUAGCUAGUAGGUGGGGUAACGGCUCACCUCGGCGACGAUCCCUAGCCGGUCUGAGAGGAUGACCAGCCACACUAGAACUGAGACACGGUCCAGACUCCUACGGGAGGCAGCAGUGGGGAAUAUUGCACAAUGGGCGCAAGCCUGAUGCAGCCAUGCCGCGUGUAUGAAGAAGGCCUUCGGGUUGUAAAGUACUUUCAGCGGGGAGGAAGGGAGUAAAGUUAAUACCUUUGCUCAUUGACGUUACCCGCAGAAGAAGCACCGGCUAACUCCGUG